GACGAACGCUGGCGGCGUGCCUAACACAUGCAAGUCGAACGAAGUGGCGAACGGGUGAGUAACGCGUAAUCAACCUGCCCUUCAGAGGGGGACAACAGUUGGAAACGACUGCUAAUACCGCAUACUGAAGGAGGGGUUUGCGUCUGAUUAGCUAGUUGGAGGGGUAACGGCCCACCAAGGCGAUGAUCAGUAGCCGGGUUGAGAGGGUGGACGGGCACAUUGGGACUGGGACACGGCCCAGAAUCCUACGGGAGGCAACAGGGGGGAAACAUCCGCAAUGGACGAAAGGCUGACGGAGCAACGCCGCGGGAGUGAUGACAGCCUUCGGGUUGUAAAACUCUGUUAAUCGGGACGCGGUACCGGAAUAGAAAGCCACGGCUAACUACGUGCCAGCAGCCGCGGUAAUUC
rnacentral:rRNA from 1 species